GGCCAAUUAGGCCGAAGUUGAGAAUUUGGGGAAAAGUACAAAAUUGAGAUGAUCAAGAACUAAUUCUAGCUACAUUGCUGAAUGGAAAAACUAAGUAACAUGAAGCAGAUAACCUAUCUGUUGAUAACUGAGACUAAGAAAAUACAAACUAUUGAAAAAGUGAUGUGAUAUGACUUUAACUUAGCAUGAAAUGAAGAGACACCAGAGUAUAUACAAUAAGGAUUAUCUACUAUGACAAAGGAGUAGAUUACAGCCACCUCUGACAAGGCAACCACAAACAAAUCAGUUCAACCUAAGCACUUCAAGGACAGAUUCCUCUACUCUGGAGGUGGGAAAGUGAGUUUUCAAGACCUAUGCCAUCUAAAUACCUAAUUAUGGACUCUGCUGAGGAAGGCAGAAGAGCCUCUCCCUGUGGGAUCUACCACCACUGGACCACAAGGGGGUUCCGUCAGGCCACUGCAAUGUUCACUGAAAGCCCAAGGUUUCCUCUGUCAGUUUGUGGUAAAUGCUGCCAGGCCUGUGACUCACCCUUCAGGGCAAUAGGCUCCCCUCUGGGCCAGGGCAGGUACUGAAAUGCUGAGCUUGUACUAAGCUUGUACUCAGGGACUCCAUGAGCCUGCUUUUUGCUCUAACCCACUGUGGCUGAGCUGACAUCUAAGGUGCAAGACAAAGUCACCUUAGUUUUCUCUCUGUUUUUCUCAAACAGAAGCAGUCUUUCAUCACAGCCACCACUGGUGGGAAUGUGCUGAGUCACCUGUGAAGCCUGCACAUCUCAGAGCCCAAUGCCCACAGCAUAGUUCCUGGGUAUCAUUGCUGGUUAUUCAGCGCCCAGGGGGUCUUUAUUCAGCAGGUGAUUAAUCCUGCAGGACUGGGUCCUUCCCUUCAAGGCAGCAACUUCCUUUUAGCCCAUGUUUGUCUAGAAAUGUGCCAGAGCUAGGGCCUAGAACGGGGGCUUCUUGACUCUGCCUCGUUCUCUCUCCUACUGUGGCUGAGCUGGUAUGCAAGAUGCAAGACAAAGCCCUCUUUACUCUUUGCUCUCCUCCCCUUAAAGAGAAGGAAAGAGACACUUUAAUUGCUGUGAGUUGCACUGCCUGGGGUUGGAGGAGGAGUGGUACUAGCACUCCUUUAGCCAUGCCAGCUGGUAUCUCCUUAGGUCAUGUGCCAUCCUAGUCCUCUGGCUCUGAGCCCAGCCUGGCACUAGGUGUUGCCUAGGAGUUGU
rnacentral:lncRNA from 10 species